CCUUGCCGAAAAGACCAAAUUAGAUAAGAAUUGAGCUUGCCUUAGGAUCGCUAUCGAAAGGAUUUUUACGACCCGUAAGCUUGUAAUUUGACAGUAUCAAUGAACUAAAUUUUCGUUCAUUUCUUUUCCAAUGUUCACUUCUGCGGCUACUUCUAUGUUGUCUUUAACCCAAUAGACAAUCCCACCGGUCGGAGUACCAUCCGAAAGCUUUUUACAUUCAGAAAGAGGCAUGUUUAACUUUUUUUAUAACGGUUGAACACGAGAAAUAGCCUCUCAUCUACAAACAACUUCAAACACGUUCAAGAAAAGCAGGCGCAACACUAUAUUUACGGAAGUCUUUGUGAGCAUAGCACAUACGAACUUCCAACAUAAAUUCAAAAGCGAAAUCGAUCAGAAUAUACUACAAAAGAAGCGCUUAUUUAUAAAGCCUCUUCCGGGUAAUCACAGUUCACCAUCGACUGCGUCAGGCUUGCUUCGGAGUGUCCGAGAUCAUGAUGGGCCGUCCACGACGGAGCUCUCUCUCGAUGGUUGACUGGGAGAGCGCCAGCGAUGAUGAUGUGGCGGAAGCAGAAGCGGAGGAGGGCUGAGGAGGACUCUUCUGACCAACGAAGUCGUCUCCGCCGUCCAACCCUUUCACAGGAACAACGGCCUUGGCGGCAACACCGUCGGCGGGGGAUGGCGACGGGGCACGAGGGUAGAAGAAGUCGGUGGGGAAGAAGUAGUACUGGAGACCGGCCAUGAAGAAAUCAGAGGAUAGAAUGGAAUAGUGAUCGGACACUGAACCUGAAUAUAUGAAUGCGUGCUUCGGAGUUCUCGAAACGUCGUAUGUUGGUGGUGGUGGUCGCUGCUGUUUUAUGGAGGCGAUUGUGUGGCGCGCGUGGUAUCAUACGUGUUCC
rnacentral:lncRNA from 1 species